rnacentral:misc_RNA from 1 species
GUGAAUCAUCGAAUUUUUGAACGCAAAUUGCGCUUCCUAGUAUCCCGGGGAGUAUGCCUGUUUGAGGGUCAUUAUUAACAAAAAGAUCAGUUUGGUGGCGAAUUGUGACGUAUCCGGAGUUUGGGCAAUCGUAACUUUGUUGGUUAAGGGUCUUAAAAUUGACCUUUUUUGCGCAUUUUUAGACGCACAUAAAUUGGUUUUUAUUCGUCUAUUCUUAAUGCCAAAAUCGUAUUAGAUGCAGUCAGAUCGU